rnacentral:rRNA from 1 species
GAUGAACGCUGGCGGCGUGCCUAAUACAUGCAAGUCGAGCGAACAGAUGAGGAGCUUGCUCCUCUGACGUUAGCGGCGGACGGGUGAGUAACACGUGGAUAACCUACCUAUAAGACUGGGAUAACUUCGGGAAACCGGAGCUAAUACCGGAUAAUAUAUUGAACCGCAUGGUUCAAUAGUGAAAGACGGUUUUGCUGUCACUUAUAGAUGGAUCCGCGCCGCAUUAGCUAGUUGGUAAGGUAACGGCUUACCAAGGCAACGAUGCGUAGCCGACCUGAGAGGGUGAUCGGCCACACUGGAACUGAGACACGGUCCAGACUCCUGCGGGAGGCAGCAGUAGGGAAUCUUCCGCAAAGGGCGAAAGCCUGACGGAGCAACGCCGCGUGAGUGAUGAAGGUCUUCGGAUCGUAAAACUCUGUUAUUAGGGAAGAACAAAUGUGUAAGUAACUAUGCACGUCUUGACGGUACCUAAUCAGAAAGCCACGGCUAACUACGUG